CUUAUGUGAGAAGUACCUCCAAUGUCUCUCCAUUCCCCCUGAGAAGACCAAUCUGAGCUAUACAAAAGUGGCCUCAAGCAAAAGGAUAUGCGCAAACCAUGCAAGUAGAAGAGAUGUGCAAGGAAGGCAAAAGGGACCAGUCAUUUCAUGAAUGACGAGUUACAGGUUAUGGCCCAUGGCCUUGAGGUGUGAAAUGGAAAGAAAGAUGUUCAUUCUAAGCAAAAGAAGAGCACUCAUCCCAUGACAAAAUUUGAAGUUACAAGUUGCAGCCGACCUCAAGUUACAUAAGAAGAAAGAAGGAAAAACAUUCAUCUUCAAACAGAAAUAAAGGGGCGGCACGUUAUGCUCGAGGCCUUAAAUAGAGAAAAAGAAAGGGAGGGAAGCGCCCUCAACGAUCUCGAAGGGCUUCACGAAACAUCACCAUCGUCGAUUCUUGUAGGAUGCCUGUAUGCGCUCCUCAACUUUAACCACUUCUAGGCUAAGCCAUUCUGCAACUCAUCCUUAUGGGUCGUUUGGGACCUUGUAGAUAAAUAUCCAGAAUAUUUAUAUACCAUCUUUUGUGGGGGCGAGGUUGUUUGGCUGAACUUUUCAAGCCAAAACUCGUUUAUUCAUAUCACCAAAAUGGCCAAAACGCCUAUAGAGAAAAUUCAAUGAAAAAGGUGGAAUGACUUAACGCCGCUCGUUGGUUCAGUCGGGCUUUAUGCUCACUGUCCCUGUGCAGAGCCCUUGAGAACGCCAUUGAUGCAAAAGUCGUGCUGCCCUGUGUUCACCAAAACAGAAGACAAGAACCACCAGAAACCAUUGCUCAUAACAUUAUCAGCAGAUUGAGCUCCAUUGUUGCUGAGGUUUUCUCUGAGUCGCCAACCUCCCAGUGGCCAUGAAAACCAUAGCUCCAGGAUUUUCUGCUUCCCAUGUGAUUGCUUACUGUGAAUCUGUGAACUCGAGCAUUGGAAGAAAAUUUGGAUGGAGUUAGAAAAGAAUUAUUGGGCUCUUGUGAGCCUUAUGUUUGAUUCAUCUUUUGAUUGCCAAUGAAAGUUGGGACUUGCUUUUGAUAAGAUAUUUCUGCUCCUGUAACUAUGUUGUUAUAGCACAAGGAAUAGGUUGGUCCUUAAUCCUUCAUUUUGGAGUCCCAAAAGCAAGUCAUUGUUGUUUGGGUCAAACCAAUUAAGGAGACAUAUUUGGAAAGGUUGGUUUCUUGGAUUUCUUCCAGCCUACUCCUCAUCAGGUCACGUUGGUCCGCAUUGAUGUGUUUUAGAGAUAUGGCUGAAAGGUUUGGCACCUCUUGUGAACUUCACUAGAAUAAGUUGCAAUGAACCUCGAUUUGCUUCAUCUAUUUGUAAAAGAAAGAAUUGUCAGAACUUUGGAUCUUUUUGUGGUAACAUUAUAACAGUCUAAGAAAAUGUCAAAUGGCUAUUGAGAACAUUAAGGAGAGUGUGAAGCUAGCGGACUACUGUUUGAUAAUUGGUGAAGUUGAGGAAGAAGUUCGUUUAUGCAUUCUCCAAGGAAAGGUUUCAUUCCCCGAAGAGCAAAGAACUGGAUGGCCAUUACGUUUUUUCAACUUUUUUAUAAUUUGGUGAUGAUGGGUCCUUCCAGUUAAUGGAUUUGUACCCUUGGGAGUACGAAAGCAGUCACCCAUUUUCCCUUUUACUGUGGAGGAUAUAUGGUAGGGGUGCUUGAGGAGUCUUUGGAUCCAUUGAAAGCUCAAAUGGUGGAGUGUUCUUAUUAUCUUAUAGGGUGAUUAUUGAAAGUGAUUGUUUGGCUAUACAUAAAUCUUAAUUGCCUUGCCUAUCUCAUUUUUGUUGUUUGGCACCGGUGGACAUGCCUUGCUUUUCUGAUUUUUGUUGUUUGGCACAGGUGGACAUGCCUUGCUUUUCUGAUUUUUGUUGUUUGGCAAAGUUGGACAUUUGAUAGCACGUAGUUUUGAUUUAUUAAUAAGUAAAGAUUAUUUCUGUUUUAGAAAUAUAUAGUGGUUUGACAUAUGGGGUGCUCCUAUUUGGCAAUUUAAUGGAACUUAUGCAUUAUUAGAAAAUGCAAGUAAAGCAGUGUAAGGUGGGGUUUGGCUAUUGAAAGUAAUUUCUUUUUUUUAUACUUUUGCUUCCUAAUUACCUUUUUUUUUUGUACCCAGAAUGAAAGUCUGGGACCAUACACAAGGGAUAGAUCAGUUGACAUUCAUGGAAACCCUGUCUUGAGGAACAAUACAGGCAACUGGAGAGCUUGCACUUUAUUCUAGAACAGAGUUCUGUGAGUGCAUGGCCGUCUCUGGAAUUGGUACAAAUAUGGUCAUUUAUCUCACUAAAAUCCUUCAUGAAGACCAAUUGCAGUGUUCUCUACAAUUUACUUCAUUGUACGUAUGAACCAUCAAAAAUGCAAAUGGCCCAUUAAGCCAUUCUCUUUUCUUUUUCUUUCUGAUUAUUACAAGGCAUUCUCUUAAUUUGUGCUUGCAACUAGAAGUAUCGUUAGAGGGAGAGACCCCUUGUGCAGCCAAUAAAGAAGAGACUAUCAUGUGAGAGAGAGAGAGAGUAAGAAAAGGGAAUAGAGUAUGUGUUAUCAUGUGAUGGGGUAUGGUAGACUCUAUCAUGUUUUCAUAGGGUAUGGCAAUGGAUAUGUAGGCACACCAAGGGAUUCGGCGCACAUUAUAAGGUAUGUGCAGACACGUAUGUGUGUGUGAGAUAUAUGGGUAGAUAGAUAGAUAGAGAGACAGAGAGAUGAGUUUAGUGAAAUGCUUGGAUGAUCAAAUAAAUUCUUAUAUUACUUUCAA